rnacentral:rRNA from 1 species
GAAAAGGACAGCCAGUGAAUCCGGAACGGUGAACAUAGAGGUUGCUCGGAGAAAUCCGGGCCGAACGGGUGAGUAACACGUGAGCAACCUGCCCCUGACUCUGGGAUAAGCGCUGGAAACGGCGUCUAAUACUGGAUAUGUGACGUGACCGCAUGGUCUGCGUCUGGAAAGAAUUUCGGUUGGGGAUGGGCUCGCGGCCUAUCAGCUUGUUGGUGAGGUAAUGGCUCACCAAGGCGUCGACGGGUAGCCGGCCUGAGAGGGUGACCGGCCACACUGGGACUGAGACACGGCCCAGACUCCUACGGGAGGCAGC